rnacentral:lncRNA from 1 species
AAAUAGAAUAAGAUUAGCACACUAGAGAGGGGUGAAUAGUUUAGUGUUUGAAUUUACCUUCUGUAAUAUGUUUGGGAGAGGGCUUAAUAGAAUUGCUGCUACAGUCUACUUCCCUUUUGUUUCCCAUGUAUUUUUUCAUCGGCUUGCAUCACGUGGAUUUAUAGAUUAAAGUGAAAAACCCGGGAUAUCUGUGUUAUUCUCUCCAUCAUUCUGAAAUUGCUGGAGAAAAAAUUGGCUUUUAAUUUAUACACUCUCGUGUUCAAAAUGAUUAUCAUCUCACAAAUCAUACAGUGUGCAUUAGACUGCUUCUCAAACUUCAGUGUGCAUCAGAUUGACUGGGAUCUUGUUAGAAUGCAGAUUCUGCAGAUCUAGGGUGGGGCCAGCUUUUCUGCAUUUUUAACAAGCUCCAGAUGAUAAUGAUGCUUCUGGCCCAGGACCAUAUCUUGAGUAGGAAGGAAUUAGGAUACUAUAUUUGGACAGU